rnacentral:ncRNA from 1 species
CCGCUGGCUUUGUUUCAGAACUGGCGGAGAAUAGUGAAUCCGGUCAGAAUCCGGAACGGUACCGCCACUGUAUGCGAGGAGGCACCGCACGGGACGAAAGUCAGUCAUUGGGAUUUUUCCUGAGAAGGCAGUGCGGAGACUUUUGAUACGCGAGUCAGGAGACCUGCUUGAACAA